GAUGAACGCUGGCGGCGUGCCUAAUACAUGCAAGUCGAGCGAACGGACGAGAAGCUUGCUUCUCUGAUGUUAGCGGCGGACGGGUGAGUAACACGUGGAUAACCUACCUAUAAGACUGGGAUAACUUCGGGAAACCGGAGCUAAUACCGGAUGAUAUUUUGAACCGCAUGGUUCAAAGGUGAAAGACGGUCUUGCUGUCACUUAUAGAUGGAUCCGCGCUGCAUUAGCUAGUUGGUAAGGUAACGGCUUACCAAGGCAACGAUGCAUAGCCGACCUGAGAGGGUGAUCGGCCUCACUGGAACUGAGACACGGUCCAGACUCCUACGGGAGGCAGCAGUAGGGAAUCUUCCGCAAUGGGCGAAAGCCUGACGGAGCAACGCCGCGUGAGUGAUGAAGGUCUUCGGAUCGUAAAACUCUGUUAUUAGGGAAGAACAUAUGUGUAAGUAACUGUGCACAUCUUGACGGUACCUAAUCAGAAAGCCACGGCUAACUACGUG
rnacentral:rRNA from 1 species